rnacentral:rRNA from 1 species
GUAGGUGGCAAGCGUUGUCCGGAAUUAUUGGGCGUAAAGCGCGCGCAGGCGGGUCCUUUAAGUCUGAUGUGAAAGCCCACGGGCUCAACCGUGGAGGGUCAUUGGAAACUGGGGGACUUGAGUACAGAAGAGGAAAGCGGAAUUCCAAGUGUAGCGGUGAAAUGCGUAGAGAUUUGGAGGAACACCAGUGGCGAAGGCGGCUUUCUGGUCUGUAACUGACGCUGAGGCGCGAAAGCGUGGGGAGCAAACAGGAUUAGAUACCCUGGUAGUCCACGCCGUAAACUAUGAGUGCUAAGUGUUAGGGGGUUUCCGCCCCUUAGUGCUGCAGCUAACGCAUUAAGCACUCCGCCUGGGGAGUACGGCCGCAAAGGCUG